GAUAAACGCUGGCGGCGUGCUUUAUGCAUGCAAGUCGAACGGUCUGAUGUUCCAAGCUUGCUUGGGAUGCCAGAUAGUGGCGAACGGGUGAGUAACGCGUAAGUAACCUGCCCCUAAGUAAGGAAUAACUCUGAGAAAUUAGAGCUAAUACCAUAUAUGGUGAUGGAGGUAAUGCUUCAUCACUAAAGCUUUAGGGCGCUUAGGGAGGGGCUUGCGUCCGAUUAGCUAGUUGGUAGGGUAAUGGUUUACCAAGGCGAUGAUCGGUAGCUGGUUUGAGAGGACAUCCAGCCACACUGGGACUUAGAUACGGCCCAGACUCCUACGGGAGGCAGCAGCAAGGAAUUUUGUGCAAUGGGCGAAAGCCUGACACAGCGUCGCCGCGUGGGGGAUGAAGGCCCUCGGGUUGUAAACCCCUUUUCUCAGGGAAGAAUAAUGACGGUACCUGAGGAAUAAGUCUUGGCUAACUACGUGCCAGCAGCCGCGGUAAGACGUAGGAGGCGAGUGUUAUCCGGAUUUACUGGGCGUAAGGAGGGCGUAGGCGGCUUUUCAAGUCGGAUGUAAAAUCUCCUGGCUUAACUAGGAGGGGUCAUUCGAUACUGUUAGGCUAGAGGGCAGCAGAGGGAGGUGGAAUUCCCGGUGUAGUGGUGAAAUGCGUAAAUAUCGGGAGGAACACCAGUGGCUAAAGCGGCCUCCUAGGCUGUUUCUGACGCUGAGGCCCGAAGGCGUGGGGAGCGAACAGGAUUAGAUACUCUGGCAGUCCACGCUGUAAACGAUGGAUACUAGGUAUGGGGGGUAUUGACCCCCUCCGUGCCGAAGCUAACGCGUUAAGUAUCCCGCCUGGGGACUACGGCCGCAAGGCUA
rnacentral:rRNA from 1 species